GUCGAAAUAGUUUAAAGGUAAAACAUAUACCUUGUAAGUAUAGGUUGUGGGUUCAAUUCCUACUUUCGACA
rnacentral:tRNA from 2 species